rnacentral:rRNA from 1 species
UACGUAGGCAGCGAGCGUUGUUCGGAAUUACUGGGCGUAAAGAGUGUGUAGGCGGUGCUCUAAGUUCGGUGUGAAAUCUCCCGGCUCAACUGGGAGGGUGCGCCGAAUACUGAAUGACUAGAGUGCGGGAGAGGAAGGUGGAAUUCCUGGUGUAGCGGUGAAAUGCGUAGAUAUCAGGAGGAACACCGGUGGUGUAGACGGCUUUCUGGACCGUAACUGACGCUGAGACACGAAAGCGUGGGUAGCAAACAGG